GGUGGAACGAGUUUGGGUUGAUAC
rnacentral:siRNA from 1 species